CACUGUUGCAGAGGAAAAUCUGGCAGGGAGAACAUGAAGACUUCAUUGAAGACGGUCACCAGGCAGCGGGCCACUACGGAUGUUUUCUGAUCUUCUUGUAACUCCAGAGGGUAGGAGAUUUUGAGCUGCCCUAAGGGAACCCUCACCUGUCCUAAGACUGUGUUUCUGGAGAAUUUAUCAAAGUCCCUCACCUGAGAUAAGCACAGAAACAUGACAGAUUCACACAUACAAAUGAAAAAUAAACUCCAAUGACUUGAGAUUCACUAAGAGUGAGAGAUGUGUUUGUGUACUGCAGGACCUCCAUCCUGAGGUUGAGAUGACGAAGCUCUUUAUGCUCUUGCAGAAUACAGCUGAACUGGUCUCCAAAUAGAGGGCUACAGCUGCCUUUCACAAUGCGAGUCCGCCACUCCUGCAGCACUGUCCAUAGGACGGGUGCCAUCCCUUCAGCCUAAAAGGGUCACAGCAAUUCUGAGGAGGGAAAUGAGCCCUGAGACAGACAGCGGCUCAGCCUGUGGACCUCUGUGCUGGCGUCCUCCAUCUGUGGAGCAUGACAACAUAUAUUACUGCAUGCUAUUUCCAUCAGAGGAGUUUAUUUUAGCCUCUACACCACCUCCAACUUUUGUUUUACAUGCAACACUUCCAAACACUUCUUUGUUUGAACAAGCAUGCUCAUUCUUUAUGUACAUAGACAAUGUUGCCUACUUGGAGGAUCUCACAAAAUAACAAGAACACAACAACAGAUGAUAAUCUUGUACAUGUGACAUAAGUGUUCUCGGCACCCCUGAAUGUGGCCCUAACGCCAAUUUCUGACCAUGAUGGCAGCACAGUCCUUUUCCUGGUUUUUCAUCCAACAUUACCGCCGUCAAGACACUGUAAAAACUAGUCUGCCAGACUUUUACUGACACAAGUCACAUGGAAGAAAACAGUAGACUAUCCAAAUAAAAUGUGCUGGGCUCUCAAACACAGCUCACACAUAAGAUCAACGCAAAUAAGAUACCUCAAGCUCAACCUGACUCUUCUCUCAGGUAAUAAUAAUCGGUGCAGAAACUUUUAGGGACUGCCCCAAGAGUAUCGACUGAAAGGCAGCAGCUUCCUCCAAAGGUUAUUGACAGUGGGUCUGCAUCAGUUUUUGUUUUGUCAAAGAAGGCCACAUGGAAUCUCAAAUAAUCUACUGAUUUGUUUAGACAUCUGCCAAUGGCUAAUAUUGUUUGGGUGCUGCUUUGACUCUGUGCCACAUAACAUGUAGUCAUAGGAAAAUAAAUGUAAAUAAAGCACUCUUACCCGGGUACUUGGAGCUUCUGAGUAGUUUCCUGCUGUUCUUGGCUUCAUGUCUG